AGCGAACGCUGGCGGCAGGCCUAACACAUGCAAGUCGAACGAACUCUUCGGAGUUAGCUGCGGACGGGUGUGUCACGCGUCGGAACGUGCCUUUUGAUUCCGAAUAACUCAGUGAAACUUGUGCUAAUACCGAAUGUGCCCUUCGGGGGAAACAUUCAUCCCCAUUAGAGCGGCACGCGUCUGAUUAGCUAGUUGGUGAGGUAACAGCUCACCAAGGCUACGAUCAGUAGCUGGUCUGAGAGGAUGAGCAGCCACACUUGGACUGAGACACGGCCCAGACUACUACGGGAGGGAGCAGUGGGGAAUCUUGCGCAAUGGGCGAAAGCCUGACGCAGCCAUGCCGCGUGAAUGAUGAGGGUCUUAGGAUUGUAAAAUUCUUUCAUCGGGGACGAUAAUGACGGUACCCGGAGAAGAAGCCCCGGCUAACUUCGUG
rnacentral:rRNA from 1 species